AGUGAGCGCUGGCGGUAGGCCUAGCACAUGCAAGUCGAACGGCAGCACAGUAAGAGCUUGCUCUUACGGGUGGCGAGUGGCGGACGGGUGAGGAAUACAUCGGAAUCUACUUUUUCGUGGGGGAUAACGUAGGGAAACUUACGCUAAUACCGCAUACGACCUACGGGUGAAAGCAGGGGAUCUUCGGACCUUGCGCGAUUGAAUGAGCCGAUGUCGGAUUAGCUAGUUGGCGGGGUAAAGGCCCACCAAGGCGACGAUCCGUAGCUGGUCUGAGAGGAUGAUCAGCCACACUGGAACUGAGACACGGUCCAGACUCCUACGGGAGGCAGCAGUGGGGAAUAUUGGACAAUGGGCGCAAGCCUGAUCCAGCCAUACCGCGUGGGUGAAGAAGGCCUUCGGGUUGUAAAGCCCUUUUGUUGGGAAAGAAAAGCAGCAGGUUAAUACCCCGCUGUUCUGACGGUACCCAAAGAAUAAGCACCGGCUAACUUCGUG
rnacentral:rRNA from 1 species